ensembl:snoRNA Small nucleolar RNA U6-53/MBII-28
UUCCUGUGAUGAGUUUGCCAUGCUAAUACUGAUGUGCCAGACUGACUGUGUCUGUCUGGGCGCAGCUGAGGUCAGCUCAACUUCUCACACUCGCAGUGUGAUCUGAGGAAA